GUUACAAAGUUUUGAAUGUUAUACACAGGCCUAAUUAACUUUCUCCAAAAAGAUUUCUAGAAUUGCUCUGGAUCCAACCUUUCUGAUAUAAUUCAAAUUUAAUUCAUUAACUUAAAUUACGGUUGCCUUAAAGUUGUAUGAGGCUGAGGAUAGAAAAGAGAACUUACAGAAGCAUCAUGUCAUCGGAUGAUCAGCCUUCGUAUACCUUCUUCAAAAUUGAACCGAGUACGGUUGAAGACAACGAGCAGGUGGUAUUGGAUAAUCCGGUACAAGUCCUAGAGAAAGUCGACUGGAUGACCAAUGUACAUGAUACAAAAACAUUUGUAGAAAAAAGCCCCAUCGAAGAUGAGUUGUCUUUACAAGGUUUCAUUAAAACUGAAACGCAAACUGCACGAGACGUUGAAAUUCAAGAAUUUGACAAAUCGACAGCAGUCAAUAAUUGCCCUCAACCCGAAAACGACAAAGGAAAAUAUGCUACAAAGGAAAUAUUUAAAUUAUCUUGUGAUCAAUGCAGUAAAAAGUUUAAAGGACAGAGAGCGUUGAAACGCCAUACGACUUUGGCACAUUCGCUGAAACCUCGCUACCAGUGUGAGGUAUGUAAGAGUCAAUUUACCUACCCAUCGAAGCUUAGCGCGCAUGUAGAUCAAUGCAAAGCCAAGUUUGGGAUGGAUGUUGACACUUCUUUAACGAGUGUGGACAGGACGAGCACGGAAUCACCUGUCGAAUUAUCGUCUAAUUUAAUCACGAGCUCGAUUGAAAUCAAGGAAGAAGAUUGUUGGCAAAUGAACUUGGAACAUGACGAUUCAUUGUCUUCCAAUGGCAAGAAACCUACAACAACAACCUGUCAGAAUUGCGGAUCAACGGUAUCUUCAAUUGACACUAACCACCCAAAUCAGGAGGUUUAUUCCGCGCCACAUUUGCCCGUAGCUAGUUCAACUUUGGGCGUUGGCGACUUUCUGAAGCGGAACAACUUGACCCAGUACGUGAAAACAUUCGAAAAUGCCGAAAUUACGCUGCAAGAUUUACCCUACCUAAAGACUAAUGUUUCAGAACUGGCUCUGCUAAUACCCGUUAUGAGGGACCGCAUGAAGUUUGUCGAGGCUAUAGAAAUGUCGCGGAUAGACAAGGCUGUACAAGUUUCAUUAGAAUUCGAAUUAACUCCAGAAUUGGAUCUUAUGGAGCUCUGCCUGCAGUCCGAGGACGGAAAAAAGUUUCUGAAACUGAUGGAAAACCUGAACACUAUGACACACCAAAGUCGGAAUAUUUUGAAAUAUGUUCUGGUGAGCCACUAUUUCCACCGGGGCAAAGGGCGUAUAAACAAAAGGGGCUUUGAAGAGAUGGUCAAAAUAAUAAAAAAAAAUUAUCCGGAAGAGAUCGGAUGCAUAUGGUACCAGGGGAUCAAAGGGAAUCAGUGCGCGGGUUUACUAUACACAUGUUAUCGAUAUAUGCUGAAACAGUUCCGCAGUAAAGACAAACCGGAUCCGGAACCUGAACCUCAAGUUGCUGCUGAAGGUAAAGGAGAGGAAGAAAUAUUAGAAGGACAAGAAAGUACUGAACCAGUGUCAAACCUUGACUUCGCACCACGCGUGGACCUCAAGGAACUUUGCAAGGAAUCUGAUGAAGGAAAACAGUUCCUCGAGUUGAUGGAAAAUAAAACCCAUUUGACCGGGAAAAGUCGUGAUCUGUUGAAAAUAGUUCUGGUGAAAUACUUUUUUCAAAUCGGACUAGGCACGAUUCCGUGUUUGAGUUUUGAGGAAAUGUUCCAGAUGAUCAUCAAAUACUACCCGGACGAGAUUCUAAGUACCUGGUACAUUCCGAGUACCCAAGGUUAUAACGCCAAGGGUUUGCUGUAUCUGCGCUACAGGUAUCUGCUUCGUCUGAGCGCAAAGGCCCGUGGUAAAGAUAACGCCGCCGCAUUGAAGAAGAAGCUUGAUGCACCAGCAGCGCCCGAAUUCACGAAGCCAUCUGUUGUCCCACGGAUGGCAACUCAUGGACGUGAGUAUAAUUUUUAUCCUGGUGGUGUUCACAGUAGGAGAAAUCAUGAAGACGGCGAAGCAGAAAUUGAUUUCAAUGAUGAUUUCCCAGUCAUCCAAUUCAUCUUGUCGGAGGAGGAUGGCGAUCAGUGUUAAAACAGUGAAGAAGAAAAAUAAGAUUAAAAAAAAAAUCUAAAUUCUGUUAUGUAAUGAUUGUUUAUAAAUACCUUUUGGUUAGGUUUCGAUAAAUCAAAAAGAUUUUCAGUUAAUUGUUUUCAUUAUCGAAAACGUUCGAGAUUGAAAGUGAAUAUAUACCUAUUUAAUAUUUUGUUAGAACAAUUAGUUUUGACUUGAGGGUGAAGGAGUUGUAGUGUUCGCUUAGUAGAUGUUUCGACGAGUAGGUCAGAUCCCAGAAUGGGAACACUGUCGACAUAGGGACAAAAGGACUUCGCAGGCGAAAUCUUGUACCAGAUGUUAAGAAUAAAACAGAUCUGCCUCUUUGUUACUGGCUUCCGUCCUAACCAGACGUGUGUCGUCUUAUUUAUUUAAAGAACAAGAAACCCCUUUAUUUGUGACCUUAAUAAUAAGUGGUAAAUCUUAGAAAUGAUGGGUUACUUCAAUUGGCUCGUUGAACAUCUACCAGUUGGCAGAAACCAUUUUAUUUACAUAGUUUUCCGUCUCACGACAUAACUUGACGAACAUAAUUCCUAAAAUUCACUCGGUCCAUGGCAACCGUUCUCCAAUCUCUCGGGCUGGACAGUCGUCCAGCAUUCGCGCAACAGGUCCCGCCCAGCGUAUCCGGCCAGCUUUCGCCACCUUCUGGAUACUGGGUUCGCCGUAGAGUCGCGCGAGCUCGUGGUUCAUCCUUCGCCUCCACACUCCGUUCUCCUGUACGCCGCCAAAGAUGGUUCUUAACACAUGACAUCUACCAAAAAAUGGAACGACUGAUGCAUCACCCAAAUAAAUCAAUUUACGAACACGCCUUGAUUCGUCUCAAAUGUUAAAAACUUUCGUAUUCAUCUCAGGAUCUAAAAGAACUUUGCAGUCAGUGCGAGCAAGGAAGAGCAUUCCUGGAGCUGAUGAAAGACCGAAGUACAUUAACAUCGGAGAGCCGGCGAAUUUUAAAAAUGGUUCUGGUGGACUACUUUUACAAACUGGGACGAGGGC